rnacentral:rRNA from 1 species
UACGGGGGGGGGCAAGCGUUGUUCGGAAUUACUGGGCGUAAAGGGCUCGUAGGCGGCCAACUAAGUCGGACGUGAAAUCCCUCAGCUUAACUGGGGAACUGCGUCCGAUACUGGAUGGCUUGGAUUUGGGAGAGGGAUGCGGAAUUCCAGGUGUAGCGGUGAAAUGCGUAGAUAUCUGGAGGAACACCGGUGGCGAAGGCGGCAUCCUGGACCAAUAUUGACGCUGAGGAGCGAAAGCCAGGGGAGCAAACGGG